rnacentral:lncRNA from 1 species
AAAUGCCUCGAGAUAUGCCGAGUGGGUAUUAAAUAGUGCACGAUGACGAAAUGGUGGGCACGGCUGAUGUCAUCUGGGUUACGCCUCCAGCAAAUAUCCAGCCGCUGUCCUGCCGACGCAGAGGAGGAACGGGAGUGCAUGACCCAAAGAGGGCCCAGUAGUAGGCAUGUUCAGCUGUCCAAUAGCGCGUGGUGUCGUACACCAUUCA